ensembl:lncRNA
AAACAGUUUAGCUGCAAUAACUUGAAGCAAAAUCCUUUUCUGUGUGAUGUAUCAGUCUCUCACAUUAUUGUGGAGGAAUAUUACCCCACACACCCCUCACACAGACACAUUUGACUCUAGAAUAUUUUGGUAUACAGAGGAGGUCAUGGCUGACUCAGUGACUGCGAGGUGUUCAGGUCCUGUGGAUGUAAAACAAGCCCAAAUAAUGACCCCUCCAUCACUGUGCUAACAGGUCGCAUGAGGUGUUUGUGCUGAUAUGUUGUUUUUGGUUUUUACCAUGGUGAUGUGCAGUAUGACCUAAAGUCUCCACUUUGGUCUUUUCUUUCCAAAGGACUUUUUUUUUUUUAAACUUUUGUUUUGUAAGGAUACAGUUUUGCAAACUGAAGCUGUGCAGCCAUGUCCUUUUUUACAGAGACAAGGUAUUCUCCUCCCAAACAGUUCAUUCUUGUUCAGUGUUUUUCUAAUCGUACUGACAAAUUAUGUUUAACAGACUAGCUAAAGUUUCUAGGGUCUGACAGACUCUUCUGAUUUUGCCGUUUCUCUGAGUAUUGGUCUGAGCUUGGUUGAACGUCCACUCCUGUCUUGAGUUUUAAUGCACACCUGAAUGCUCCAGACCAGCGAUCUUUCAAAACCUCUCCUUUUAUGGAGAUGCUCAAACUUGCUUAUGAUCAGUUCAUUGAAUCAAGCAGCAGUAGUCUCACCUGGCUGUUACUACUGCUGCUUGGUUCCUAUAAAAGCAUUGAGGGUGUCCUUAGUUUUUCACAGGAUUGCAUCUAAAUAAAGAUUUUGUUUAGAGGCCACAACAUUUCUCAAAGCGUUUGUUCAGUGAGGCAUCUUCAGUUAUACCAAAACCAAUUACAUAUUUUAGAUCACACCUGUACAAAGGUAUGACUUUUCCCUUAUUUAUUCUUUGUAUUCACCAAUAACCCACCGAAUGUUGUUACUGUUAUCUCCUAUCAGUAUUUUCCAUCCAUGCUGACUUUAUAUCACCUGUGUCUAU